rnacentral:rRNA from 1 species
AGGGGAAUAUUGCACAAUGGGGGAAACCCUGAUGCAGCGACGCCGCGUGAACGAAGAAGGUAUUCGUAUCGUAAAGUUCUGUCCUAGGGGAAGAUAAUGACAGUACCAUAGAAGAAAGCUCCGGCUAAAUACGUGCCAGCAGCCGCGGUAAUACGUAUGGAGCGAGCGUUGUCCGGAAUUAUUGGGCGUAAAGGGUACGCAGGCGGUUUAAUAAGUCGAAUGUUAAAGAUCGGGGCUCAACCCCGUAAAGCAUUGGAAACUGAUAAACUUGAGUGGUGGAGAGGAAAGUGGAAUUCCUAGUGUAGUGGUGAAAUACGUAGAUAUUAGGAGGAAUACCAGUAGCGAAGGCGACUUUCUGGACACAAACUGACGCUGAGGUACGAAAGCGUGGGGAGCAAACAGG